rfam:Triticum urartu cultivar G1812 contig809962, whole genome shotgun sequence.
UACGUACUCUCUCCGUUCCAAAUUACUCGUCGCAGAAAUGGAUGUAUCUAGAACUAAAAUGCAUCUAGAUACAUCUACAUCUGCGACAAGUAAUUCGAAACAGAGGGAGUAGUUA